rnacentral:rRNA from 1 species
CUUAUUGUGACAGCAAUGUCAUGAUAAGUAUAGCGGCGGACGGGUGAGUAACACGUGGAUAACCUACCUUUUACAGGGGAAUAACCGGGAGAAAUCCCAGCUAAAGCCCCAUAAGCCGGAAGGGACGCAUGUUCCAGUCGGAAAAUAUUUAUAGGUAAAAGAUGGGUCCGCGUCUGAUUAGCUAGUUGGCAGGGUAAGAGCCUACCAAGGCGACGAUCAGUAGCCGGCCUGAGAGGGUAGACGGCCACAUUGGGACUGAGACACGGCCCAAACUCCUACGGGAGGCAGCAGUGGGGAAUAUUGCACAAUGGGGGGAACCCUGAUGCAGCAACACCGCGUGAAGGAAGAAGGCCUUCGGGUCGUAAACUUAUAUCGAUGGGGAAGAAAGAAAUGACGGUACCCAAGUAAGAAGCCCCGGCUAACUACGUGCCAGCAGCCGCGGUAAUACGUAGGGGGCAAGCGUUAUCCGGAAUUACUGGGUGUAAAGGGUGAGUAGGCGGCAAAGCAAGCCACAUGUGAAACCCCGGGGCUUAACCCCGGGAUUGCAUGAGGAACUGUUUAGCUAGAGUACAGGAGAGGUAAGCGGAAUUCCUAGUGUAGCGGUGAAAUGCGUAGAUAUUAGGAAGAACACCAGUGGCGAAGGCGGCUUACUGGACUGAAACUGACGCUGAGUCACGAAAGCGUGGGGAGCAAACAGGAUUAGAUACCCUGGUAGUCCACGCUGUAAACGAUGAGUGCUAGGUGUUGGGUCGAGAGACUCGGUGCCGGAGCAAACGCAAUAAGCACUCCACCUGGGGAGUA